rnacentral:rRNA from 1 species
UACGUAGGGCGCAAGCGUUAUCCGGAAUUAUUGGGCGUAAAGAGCUCGUAGGCGGUUUGUCGCGUCUGCCGUGAAAGUCCGGGGCUCAACUCCGGGUCUGCGGUGGGUACGGGCAGACUAGAGUGAUGUAGGGGAGACUGGAAUUCCUGGUGUAGCGGUGAAAUGCGCAGAUAUCAGGAGGAACACCGGUGGCGAAGGCGGGUCUCUGGGCCGUAACUGACGCUGAGGAGCGAAAGCGUGGGGAGCGAACAGG